rnacentral:misc_RNA from 1 species
UCUGAUUCAAUCAGAUCGAAACGCGCUCUAGAACGGUUCCCACGACUCCGUUUUAACUGGAGUUGCCUAGGCUGCGGGCUCAAUUGGAUUAGCCUUGCCAUUCGGCAGGGCUUUUCCAUAGGGAUUACAGGCAGCG